UGAGGAAUAUUGGUCAAUGGACGAGAGUCUGAACCAGCCAAGUAGCGUGCAGGAUGACGGCCCUAUGGGUUGUAAACUGCUUUUGUUUGGGAAUAAUCGACAUUACGUGUAAUGUUUUGCAUGUACCAUUCGAAUAAGGACCGGCUAAUUCCGUGCCAGCAGCCGCGGUAAUACGGAAGGUCCAGGCGUUAUCCGGAUUUAUUGGGUUUAAAGGGAGUGUAGGCGGUUGGUUAAGCGUGUUGUGAAAUGUAGAUGCUCAACAUCUGACUUGCAGCGCGAACUGGCUGACUUGAGUACACACAACGUAGGCGGAAUUCAUGGUGUAGCGGUGAAAUGCUUAGAUAUCAUGAAGAACUCCGAUUGCGAAGGCAGCUUACGGGAGUGUUACUGACGAUUAAGCUCGAAGGUGCGGGUAUCGAACAGG
rnacentral:rRNA from 1 species